CCUACGGGGGGCUGCAGUAAGGAAUAUUGGUCAAUGGAGGAAACUCUGAACCAGCCAUCCCGCGUGAAGGAUGAAGGGGCUCUGCCUUGUAAACUUCUUUUGUCUGGGGCGAAAAAGCUCGAUUUAUCGAGAACUGACGGUACCAGAAGAAUAAGCACCGGCUAACUCCGUGCCAGCAGCCGCGGUAAUACGGAGGGUGCCGGAAUUAUCCGGAAUCACUGGGGCGAAGGCGUGUUUGGACGGCAGUGGUGAAAGGCUGUGGCUUAACCAUGGAAUUGCCAUUGAUACUGCAGAGCUUGAGUGAGGUUGAGGUUGACGGAAUGUGACAUGUAGCGGUGAAAUGCUUAGAUAUGUCAUGGAACACCGAUUGCGAAGGCAGCUGACUGGACCUAUAUUGACGCUGAGGCACGAAAGCGUGGGGAGCGAACAGGAUUAGAUACCCCAGUAGCC
rnacentral:rRNA from 1 species